rnacentral:rRNA from 1 species
UACGGGGGGGGCAAGCGUUGUUCGGAAUUACUGGGCGUAAGGGGCUCGUAGGCGGCCAACUAAGUCAGACGUGAAAUCCCUCGGCUUAACCGGGGAACUGCGUCUGAUACUGGAUGGCUUGAAUCCGGGAGAGGGAUGCGGAAUUCCAGGUGUAGCGGUGAAAUGCGUAGAUAAUCUGGAGGAACACCGGUGGCGAAGGCGGCAUCCUGGACCGGCAUUGACGCUGAGGAGCGAAAGCCAGGGGAGCAAA